UACGUAGGGUGCGAGCGUUGUCCGGAAUUAUUGGGCGUAAAGGGCUCGUAGGCGGUUUGUCGCGUCGGGAGUGAAAACGCCGUGCUUAACACGGCGCUUGCUUUCGAUACGGGCAGACUAGAGGUAUUCAGGGGAGAACGGAAUUCCUGGUGUAGCGGUGAAAUGCGCAGAUAUCAGGAGGAACACCGGUGGCGAAGGCGGGUCUCUGGGCAGUAACUGACGCUGAGGAGCGAAAGCGUGGGGAGCGAACAGG
rnacentral:rRNA from 1 species